GCGGGCGUGGCGAAACUGGCAGACGCACGAGAUUUAGGUUCUCGUGGCCGAAAGGCCGUGCAGGUUCGAGCCCUGUCGCCCGCA
rnacentral:tRNA from 1 species